GAAAUGCGAUACGUAAUGUGAAUUGCAGGGUUAAGUGAAUCAUCAAAUGUUUGAACGCAAGUUGCGCCGCCUCGGCGGCAUGCUUCUUUGAGUGUCGGUUUCUUUCUGUUGGACGAUUCGCGCCGAAUUGCCCUUGCCCUCUCGCGACGAUGUCGGUUGAAACAUAUGGACGUCGUGUGUGUGUGUGUGGUCGACCGUGGUCGGCUCCUACGAAAGACCUCAAAUGAAGUAGGACGACCCGCUGAAUUUAA
rnacentral:misc_RNA from 1 species